AAUUUGGGGCUAUACAUUUUAUUGAAUUGUAGCGUAUUUUGACGUCUUUAGAAUUCUAGUUAUUGAAGUUUUAAAUUUGGGGGCUACAAGGGCAAAAUAAUACAUUCACUAAUAUUUGUAUUUCUUUUAUAAAUUUGAGGCUAUGUUGAGUAAAAUGGGGGCUAUAUAUAUAAUUACCCUUUAAGAAAAUAAAUUCCCCCACAGAUUCGGCCUAAAGACUUGGCCCAUUAAUAUCAUAAAUUUCAGUCAAACAAUUGCAGCCCAACAGUAGAGGCUCAAUCAAAAAAUCAAUUACUGAAGCCCAACCCAUCUCUCUUUCUUUCUUUCUUCUCAAUAAUCGGCUGAUACCUUCUCUCUCUCUCUCGUUCUCGCUGUAUACAGAACAGCACCUCUCCCUUUCUCUAAGCUCUGGCGAGGCCGGAAUCCGGUCGUCAACGCGGCAUCCCCCUUCGCCUGACUCGCAACCUCUAUCUCUUUUCCCCUCUCUCACUCACACCCUCUCUGGCGCACUCAAUCAAGGCGAAAGGGGCGAGCCCUAAUUCUCUUCUCCAUCAGAAAUCACCGCCGUUACCGAGCGAGGCCAUAGGCAUGAUUUCCUCCUUGGUUCUCUCUUCUCUCUGAUUUUCUCUAACGUAGCUCUAGUAAGGGUCGAGCCCUAGCUGUUCUCUGUUCGGUACAGCCCAACCGUCGUCAUCUCAAGAAAAAUCGGUGAGCUGCGAGGCCUAGAAUCCGCCCAUCGCUGCUGGUGGUUCGAGGAUCGGCGAGUCGAUAGCGUUCGUCGUCGUCGGUGUUGGAUCCCCCAACGCCGAUCGUGUUGUCGUGUCUUCCUUAACUGGGGUCACCGCGCUGUUGUUUCCCUGCAUCUGGUGAACGGAGCAGUCAUCCGUUGCUCCGUCGAUUCGCGGUGCCCUGCAAUGCAGUCUCCAUUCUCGCCCAACUCUUCCAAGGUCCGACCCCAGCCAACAUAACCCGCACUCGAAUCAACAGUUUGGCAGAAGCUAAGAUGAACUCAUUGACUCUCUGUUAUUGGCGUGCAAAGAAAUGGAGAGGGAUUGUUGCUGAUUCUUUAAAGGGAGUAGAGUUUGGAUGAAGACUUGAGUAUUGAUCCAUGGGAGGUUUGAGAAAAAGGGUCAAGUGUAGGGGGCUGAAUGAGCUAUUUUUGGAUGUAAAUUCAAAAGCACUAUAGUACCGGUCUGGGUUGGUUGUAAAUGAAAUGAACCGGUUUUCUGGGUUGAUUGGGUUGAUUUAAAUGAAAUGAACUAGUUAUCUAUCACUUUUGACGUGGCACUCAUCCAACGUCCCAGCCUACCACGUAUCAGCCUAGGAUAGACAUUUCCCUAUUUUUGUACCUCAACAGUUGAAGUAUGGUGGCUGAUAGUAUAUGUAUAUGGGCAGAUGGGUCCUCUGCGAUCCUUGAAAGGCUUGAUAGGAAUGAAAGAGUAGGGUGGCUGAAUGACAGCCGAAAUUGGUGCUGCAGAGCAGGGGAGGGAAUAGGCUACUGUUCUUGUACUUGCUUAAAUAUAUGACUUUGAUUUUGGUGGACUUGUAAUAGAGUUGGAAAAAAAAGUGGUGAGGUGACUAAUAAAACCUCUCAAUCUUGGUAAA